rnacentral:rRNA from 1 species
CGAACGGCAGCGCGGGGCAACCUGGCGGCGAGUGGCGAACGGGUGAGUAAUAUAUCGGAACGUACCCAAGAGUGGGGGAUAACGUAGCGAAAGUUACGCUAAUACCGCAUACGAUCUAAGGAUGAAAGYRGGGGAYCGCAAGRCCUYRUGCUCCUGGAGCGGCCGAUAUCUGAUUAGCUAGUUGGUAGGGUAAAGGCCUACCAAGGCUACGAUCAGUAGCUGGUCUGAGAGGACGACCAGCCACACUGGAACUGAGACACGGUCCAGACUCCUACGGGAGGCAGCAGUGGGGAAUUUUGGACAAUGGGCGCAAGCCUGAUCCAGCAAUGCCGCGUGAGUGAAGAAGGCCUUCGGGUUGUAAAGCUCUUUUGUCAGGGAAGAAACGGUAGGGGCUAAUAUCCCCUGCUAAUGACGGUACCUGAAGAAUAAGCACCUGGCUAACUACGUGCCA